CGAUGCGGCGGCCCCCGACGUAAAGGCUUUAAAGCCUUUGGGAAGAAGGAACUUCCCAACCCAACCCCUCCCCCGGCCUCAACCUGAGGCCCGUCACUCACACGGGUGAGGUUUGCCAACUGAGCUGGAUUUCACAGCGGUUGGCUGGCAUAUGCUCGCCGCGGCAACCGCAAACAUGCGUCGGCCCCCGGCCGGGAGAGCGAAUCCCGAUCGAGGGCCUGACCACCGAGGAAGUAAAGGCUUCCCG
rnacentral:ncRNA from 1 species